GACGAACGCUGGCGGCGUGCUUAACACAUGCAAGUCGAACGGAAAGGCCCUGCUUUUGUGGGGUGCUCGAGUGGCGAACGGGUGAGUAACACGUGAGUAACCUGCCCUUGACUUUGGGAUAACUUCAGGAAACUGGGGCUAAUACCGGAUAGGAGCUCCUGCUGCAUGGUGGGGGUUGGAAAGUUUCGGCGGUUGGGGAUGGACUCGCGGCUUAUCAGCUGGUUGGUGGGGUAGUUGCUUACCAAGGCUUUGAAGGGUAGCCCGCCUGAGAGGGUGAACGGCCACAUUGGGACUGAGAGACGGCGCAGACUCGUACGGGAGGCAGCGGUGGGGAAUAUUGCGCAAUGGGCGGAAGCGUGUGACGGCAACGCCGCGUGCGGGAUGACGUGCUUCGAGUUGUAAACCGCUUUCUCCUGUGACGAAGCGGGAGUGACGGUAAUGGGUAAAGAAGCACCGGCUAACUACGUG
rnacentral:rRNA from 1 species